AGCAGUAGCCACGGGAAUACCGAGGAUGCAAGCGUUAUCCGGAAUGAUUGGGCGUAAAGGGCUCGCAGGCGGUUUCUUAAGUCUGAUGUGAAAGCCCCCGGCUCAACUGGGGAGGGUCAUUGGAAACUGGGAAACUUGAGUGCAGAAGAGGAGAGUGGAAUUCCACGUGUAGCGGUGAAAUGCGUAGAGAUGUGGAGGAACACCAGUGGCGAAGGCGACUCUCUGGUCUGUAACUGACGCUGAGGAGCGAAAGCGUGGGGAGCGAACAGGAUUAGAUACCCGAGUAGUCCCUGUCUCUUAUAA
rnacentral:rRNA from 1 species